GGGUGCUUAGCUCAGUUGGUAGAGCAUCGCCCUUACAAGGCGAGGGUCAGAGGUUCAAGUCCUCUAGCACCCACCA
rnacentral:tRNA from 1 species